AGGAAGUUUUAUGAUCUGACCAUCACCGGUGGCAUUUUCUCUUCUCAUCUCUUCUGUCUUGCAGCUCACAAGAGCCCAGUGCCUCCCAAUGUAUAGGCACAAAGUAUGGAUGUGCAGUGGCCCCAUAAUAUGGUACUUAGCAUUACAAAUGGUUUGAGAUCGCAUAACAGUCUCCCCAAAUCCAGCAUGUCCAGUGCCCUCGAGAUGGGGCAGCUGCCGGAAGGUGUGAAUCCACUGGUCUAAUGGAGCCAACUGAAGACACUGAGGAUCCUGCUUCAUACAGCUGUCUGUCCUCCACAUACAGGAAUUGGUUUAUUUUGGCAUACACUGAUAAUCAAAACCGUGCACUUCCUGUGUCCUGUGUGGACAUCUGUUAAUGAUGCAAGAGGAUCUAUAUGAACAUUAGAUUCUAUCUUGAAUCUAACUCUAUACUGCCUUCAACUGUAGCUUUCUCUGGCUUUUUAGAUUGUUUUCCAGGUCCCUCUUGAGGUGCUUUUCAGGUUUACUAGAUAUUUCUUCUAUUGUCACCACUGUGUCGAAGGAGCAGAUCAUGAACCUUGGUCUUCUUCAGCUCAUGCAAGUCUGUGGACGCUUACAAUGUCUGAUGUUCCCUGGCUCUUGAAUGCUAAGGCUGCCACUUCCACCAACAGCAACCUUGGGCUCAAAGGGAUGCCUUCUUUUUAGGCUCCAUCUUCUUCUAAGGAGGAUGAUUUCUAUUCCAGGUUUUAUUGUUUAAUAUUUAUGUAACCAAGUUUUCUGUAUUUAUUUUAUUCCAGCUCAGAAAUGAAUCAGCUUUAUCUGCUCUCUGGUGAUUAAUUCUCAUUUUGUCCCUCAGUCUCAUUUUGCCUAGGAUUAAGAGCUAGCCUUAGAAUGAGUAAUGGGGGUAUUCUUAUUAGUUGCCACCAGUGACCUCAUGAGUGUUAGCCCCUAGCUCUCCACCUGGCUGCUCCUGCCUACUGACUGUAUACGUAGUUUUGGCAUUUAUUUCCAGUUCCUUGAAGGACUUUUCCAGAACUAAAGUAGUAAAACACCCACCCAAUCACUGCAGUUCUAAUUGAGCAUCCUGGAUCCAUUCCACUACAUUAUGUGCCACACUACUACCCAGAUGAUAACUCCAAACCCAAAUCUGAUGGGAGCCACUGCUGCUCAGGCCACCCCAACCUGAGUUUUAGAAUAAUGUUAACAGAAGCAGCUAAGCAAUUACUGUUUCAUUUUUGCCUUUAACCUAUCUUGAUUGAACAUCUAUGCAAAGCUCCUGUUACACAACUCCAGAAGGCUCUAUUUAUAUAGGCAACUGCAUGAACAGUGACCCUGGGAUCUGUGCAGCCUUGCAGUCCUGUUCCACUGCGCAAGAUAUGAGGGAUACAAUUUGAAUAAGACAAGCCCAGUCUCUCCUCACGUGAGAGAGCACUAGGUGCUUUGCAAAGUCCUCCUCAAUCUAUUCUAAGGGCCUGCUAGGGGUGGCUUGGUUGGACUCCGUGUACUACCCUCUUGGCUGCUCUGGUAUCUAUUAUUUCCCUUCUUUCCAGCUUUGGCUCACUCAGAUGAUAACUUCAGUUGCUGUUGACUGUAAUGGAGCCACUAAGGCCACUAAUGCUUGUAAAAGACUGCACAGCCUUUUUUGCCCAAAGAUGUGUUUUUAGACGUCACUGAUUCUCACCCAGCAAUGCACAGUCUUGAGGAUUUCUAUAACUUCAAAGGCUACUAGCACGUUUUUUGUUCUAGCUUUUUGAGGUUUUACCAGCUCACACUAUUGCAGUCCGUUUCCUCUGGACUCAGACAAGUAUCACUGGAGAUUGGACUAGAAGAUCAAAUUGGGAAUACUCCAUGAUCUCAUCUCCCCUGCUAGAAUGUCUUAGUGGUAACUUUCACUACCAGAAUAGGCUUCCUGCUUUUCAGUGACCAAAAUUGAUCCCAGCCUUACCUCCUACAGUUUCCCCACAUGUACUGACAGUUCAAGAUGUACCAAAUCAUUUUAGUUUUCUUUCUUCUUCUUCUUUUUUUUUUUUUUUUUUUUUUUUUAAGAUAAGAUCUCACUCUGUUGCCCAGGCUGGAGUACAGUGGCACGAUCACGGCUCACUGCAGCCUCGACCUCCUGGAGUCAAGCGAUCCUCCCAUUUCAGCUUCCUGGGUAGCUGGGAUUACAGGUGCACGCCACCAUGCCCAGCUAAUUUUUUGUAUUUUUUUAUAGAGAUGGAGUUUUGCCAUUUGCCCAGGCUGGACUCGCAGUCCUGGACUCAACCACCUUGGCCUCCCAAAGUGCUGGGAUUACAGCCCUUCUACCGUGAAGGUGAGCCGUGAAGUCUAUUGCCCAGGGAUUGGGGACGUUUGUAUUAAAGAAGGUUUUGGAGUACAGAAGCAGGAAGAUGUGUUGUGGAGAUGCUGUUGGCAGAAACAACUGGCCUUGACUAAACAAACCAAGAGUUCCUACAGGAGCAGAGGCAACCGGGUGAAGGCUGACGCCCUUGCACAGGCUUGGGCAGCUCUUCUCCACAUGUCCACGUGGCUCACUUCCUUACCUACUUCAGGGCUCUGCUCACACGUCACCUCCUCAAGAAGGCCUUCCCCAACUACCCUGUCCUCACUCCCACCCCUUACCCCUGCAUUCCCUGUCCCUCUCACUCUGCUGUGGUUUAUCCUACCUGACAUAGAACAGGUUUAUCUCCCUGUUGUCUAGCAGGCUUUUAUCCAGUUCUGCUUUGCCGGACUGUAUUAAGUAAGUCUCAGUUCCUGGGCUUUAUCACUCAGCAUGGGUGGAACACACGAAAAUGGGAUUUUCCUGUUCCCACUACAGCACUUUUCUUGUGGAUACCACAUCUCCCCAUGUGCAAUAUUCUAUUCCCAUCUCACUCUUACCUUGUGCAGAGCUAUUUUCUCAGAGCAUGAGUCUCUGAACGGAAAAUCUACUGCUUUGUGCCCUGCCUGAGGAUAAGCUUCACCAGAGCAGUCUAUAUUGUUGUUGCUGUUGUUGUUGUUUAUUGCUGUAUUCCUAGCUUCUAGAACAGUGCCUGGCAUGGCAAUCAGUGGCAUGAGUAAAUUUAUGAGUAUAUAUAAUGGACAAGUUUGGGAGAAGAUAAUUAGUUUGGAAACGGGAGAGUUUAGUGGGAGAGACAGGGCCCUGACUACCUCAAAAAGCAGCAGUACUAUAAGAGGACAGAGUUUCUAUUUUUCUGCCUGGUCUAGGACUUGUACUGGUCUUUCAACUUGAAUUCAUGCAGCAAGACAGUGGUGGUGAAAAGAUAAAGGCAUUUCUACCUGGGUAGACAGUUUCUUUUUCUGGAGACAAGAAUUGAGAAGGCCUACCAGAUUCUGGCAGUGAGUUGACUGUACUUGUUUUUAGCAUUGUGAAUUUUUGCCUUCAUAUGAAUUUAAGUAGGGAGUUUAGCAAUGCUGUUUCAGGGUUUCCAUCCAGAUUUUCCGUUUCAAAUUGGACAUCUAUUUGCACCUUUAAUUCGCGUAACAAAUACUUCACAGAGAAUACAAAGUUGAAUUAUGGGCAGCUCAAUUCAUCCCCCCAAAGGCAGACAAGAGAUGGCAGGUCCAAGUUAUGCCUAUAUUACACAGUAGAGAUUAUUUUAAGUGUUUUGUUAUUGCUUCCAAGUUCACACAAAUGCUUCUUACUAAUUUAUAUUGGUCACAUUCACUAUUCUUAUUUGGUACUCAUUAGUGACUUUGUACUCUCUUAAAGAAAAUAAACCUCCAGAUUAACUAAAACAUUUAAAUAUGAAUUGUACAUAGGCUUUAUUCAUUUAUAAAAUGCAAAGAAAUUAAGAUUAAAAGGAAAACCACAUCAAAACCCAGAGACAUAAAUAAAAUGCAUUUAAAUGGCUCUUUGGUAGUUUAUUGAUGCUGAGAUAGUUUUUUUCUCCCCUUGAAAAUAUAUAAAAUUUUCUUUUCAUCUUCCCUGAAGCAUAUCCAAAUAAGUUAGUGACUACAUAAUUAAUAUCCAGGUAUUUUGUGAUAUUUGGAUAAUAGGCUUCAACUUCUUCUAAACUUAUUUUAUAUUUCAGACCACACAUUUGCCGUUUGUUGAUAAUGUUUUUGGUUGCAGCCUGAGAUAUUUCCAGGUCUAAAGCCAGGUUCACAUUUUGCUUUGAAGAGACAGAAAUUCCAAACAAAUACAGAUAGUCAGGCCAUAAACUUAAUUAAAAUUUCUGCUUUACUGGAUGUUACAUUAAAUAUGGCCAUAAUGCCAAGAGAAAUACUUGAAAAAUCCAUUUGCAUCCACAUACUGCUGCUUCCACAUAGAAUAAAAUAACAAAAUGCUAAGAAGUACAUGUUUGUGUGUAUGUGUGUGAGAGCACAUUUGUAUUAAGCUAGUUCUCUCUUUUGGCUGGGUGGCCAUACUAGUCAUAUUUUGACUAAUAAAAGAUUUUUUAAAAAAAAUUUAAAAUUAAUUUUUUUUUUUUUUUUUUGAGACCGAGCCUCCCUCUGUCACCCAGGCUGGAGUGCAGUGGAGUGAACUUGGCUCACUGCAACCUAUGCCUCCUAGGUUCAAGCAAUUCUCAUGCCUCAGCCUCCUGAGUAGCUGGGAUUACAGGCAUGCACCACAAUGCCCAGCUGAUUUUUGUAUUUUUAGUAGAGAUGGAGUUUCACCAUAUUGGCCAGGCUGAUCUCCAACUCUUGACCUCAGGUGAUCUGCCUGCCUUGGCCUCCCAAAGUGCUGGGAUUACAGGUGUGAGCCUCGACACCUGGCCUAAAAGAUGGGUUUUAAUUAAAAUCUGGGAUUGGCCAGCUCCAUAUCUGUUAACUUUCCCAUAUAGUGCUGGAGCACUAAUUUAGAGAGCUUUUGAACUACUGUGUGGUUUGUCUGCCUCCUUUUUGUGUAAAUCUAGGACAUCUUUUUUUUUUCUUUUUCAAUUUGCCUGGAAUAUUUUCUUAUUUAGAAUUCUAUGGAGAUCAUAACUCAUCUCCAGGAGAGUGAACAAGGUCACUCAUAGGAAGGUGGAGCAUGUCUUUCUUAUACAAUUGGAAGGGAGGAAGGGACCCAGCCCUGUCAUUUACAGGUGAGGACUCUGUGUCCCAGGAGGGCAAGGGAACAUGCAGAGUCUGGUGUGGUGAGCACAGGCCAAGCCCUGUGCAGAUGGGGCAGUGAGAGCAGAAAGGACGGCUGGGGCCACAUUUGACAGGUCUGGUUGACCCUGCAGUAGGACAUCAUCCAGAAUUUCCAUUAGAUGCCUUAGUCCCAAUUCUUCAGAAAGAAGGGCUUGAGAGCAAGCCUAUGUAUGAAGUCUUUAUUGGUGAGUAUGAUCCCAAAGAGGAGUAGGGUUGUAAACCAGGAAAGACGGGUAAGUCAGCCACUACAGUCAACUGGUUGUUCUGCCCAUCAGGACCUUGUGAGGAGCCUAAUGAAUUGUAGCCUGGGACCCUCUGUCAUGGGUUGAAUUGUGUUUCUCCAGGAUUCAUAUGGUGAAUUCCUAACCCUCAGUAUCUGAGAAUGUGACAGCAUUUGGAGAUAGGGCCUGUAAAGAAGUGAUUAAGAUAAGUGAGCCUGAUAGAAUGGGCCCUGUUUUAAUCUGACUAGUGUCCUUUUAGGAACAGAAAAUUUGUACACACACAGAGACAUCAAGGAUGCAUGUUCACAGAGGAAAGGCCAGGUGAGGCCAUAGCAGGAAGGCGGUCAUCUGCAAGCCAAGAAGAGAGACCUCAGAAGAAACCAACCUGCUGACACCUUGAUCUUGGACUCCCAGCCUCCAGAAGUACGAUAAAAUAAAUUUCUGUUGUUUAAGUCACCAGUCUAUCGUGCUUUGUUAUAGCAACUCUAGCCAACUCAUACGUUCUUUGACAGGGAAAAAGAAAGACUUCAAGU
rnacentral:lncRNA from 1 species